CUAACCCAUUCCUGUGAGAAAGGCAUAGAUCCUUACAUGAGGGCUCCAGUCCAUGACCCAACCAUCUCCCAUCAGGCCUCCCAACUCUGCUGCCUCCAGGAAUUAAGACUUAAGGUUACUUAAAGACUUUGGAGGUACUUUAGGUUUUAGAAAACAAAGGUUUGAGAACAGCCAUUCCAGAUGAAGAACUGCAACCCCGUAACAACAGGAGACACUCAAGGAUAUUGGCUUGGCUGCAGAGAGUGAGAUUCGUCUUCUCAUCCCAUCUUGUUAUUUUGGAGUCUCCUGGUUGUACAACUUCGGGAUUCUCUAAGGAGUUACCCAUGUUACCCAGAAGCUUCUGGAACACA